GGUUUCAGUGUGGCUGAUCUGGAUCACUCUGGUUCUGCUCCUCACCCUGGACUGAAUUAGCAGCCUGUCUUUCAACCGGUACCUCCCUUACCAUUCUGGCAUGGAGAGUGUGUGGGCUGGGAUGGAUUAAUGAUGUCAGGCCAGCAGUUUUGUCACAGCCACUCCCAGUCUGCGUAUAAAGCCACUAAUCACCAAUCUACCUUCUGCAGACUGCUCCGAGUUCCUUGCUCAUGCUAAAUAUUAUUGUUGUGAGUUGUAGGUCUAGUGACUCAUACUUUCCAUUGACAUCUUACUCAUUCAGCCGCUACAAUGGGAAGGAGUGGCUUUCUGCUGACACAGUGGUGAACACAUUCCCACACACUUCUCCGUACAGCCAUAUUCAGCUGUGCUCCACAAAGUUCAGUUGUGCCUUACCUACCAUUCUGCUCCUAUGGCUAUGGUGGCCUGUAAGUGGCGUAAAUAAUGAUGUUUCAAGUUCAAAAUGAAAGUUUUUAGCGAACAGAAAAUCCAUUCAAUCAUGCAGAAGAAACUCAAUAUAAAUGCAGCCACUGGAAUGAUAAUCCUUUUCCAGGUGAGCUCAAGGUUGCCCCCUAUUUUGUCAAGUUUUCACAGCCGUAAUGUUUUGUGAUUUUGGCUCAUGGCAAUCUAUCAGCCAACCUGAAUGAACUAGCACUUGCAAAGACCAAUGGAUGCACUUCCUUAUACCUUCUAUUAAAAGUUGCACUUGAGUACAUGGCGAAUGCUAUAGACGCUAUAGUCAGUUUGCUGCUGACACAUACAUACGUUCUGUGCCUGCAUAACUGGUGAGUAGCGUACAUGGGUCUGCCAACAAACAUUGCAGAGAGAUACACAAAACAAACUAGUAAACCACAGAAAAUCUGACAUGUGCUCAGGAUACUAGUUGCAAAUUCAUCUGAUAAAAAGAUUAAUUUAUAGUUAAUAGCAUUCUCAGCCCAAAAUAAACAUUAGAGGCGUAACAAGAAGAAACUUAAUUAAAUGCUAAUGCCAGCUGCCUCUAUAUCAAUUCAAAAUGCACAAUCUGCCGAAAAGGUCACUGAUGAGGACUGACUAAAGCCAAAUGCUUUGAUCAAACAGCAAACAUCACACAUGGCCCAACAGCACCCAGUGUUUUCGUGUGCCGGGGCUGUAAAGUGUGUGAAAGUGAGUUUUAAAUCUGUGCACAGUGGCAAGUGUUGAGUCAUAAGUACUGACCAACAACCGAGUCAAAUCUUAAUAGACACAGUACACUCUGGUCCUUUCGUGGUGUUGGACAGUAAAAAUAACACAUAGUCCACCUUUCAGCUGCUGCUAUUUUGCUUCUUCUGCUGUUCAAGGAAACAUCUACUUAAUGCUCCUGCAAGUGUGUGCUGCUGGGAUUCUCUGUCACUAGCUAAGCUUUCUUGGUGUGUGUGUGUAUGUGUGUGUUUGAGUGCACACUAUGGGGAGUCAGCAUACAGGCCCACUUCACGUGGUUCGGAAGGUGAAGGGCUAUUAGGGGAAAGGUGAGUAUGGGACUGCUGCUCUGGGUUACUCAGUAACUGGGGCUCGCUCCUUCCCCUCUUAGGCCUCUGGUGCUGUUCCUGUGCAACCACCCCCACACCUCCUACCAACCACACACACACACACACACACACACACUGCAGCUGUACCACUGAGUUUUCUCCUCAUUUCUUGCGUUCCCUGUUUGAAAGAAGAAACAGUGAAGCAAUACUCUAAUUCUCAUAUUCAUUUCUGUGUCGGAAAAACCUGAAAACUUGUGCGCAUUCAUAUCUUUAACAAACAGGAGGGAGGCCACACAAGGGAUUCACUUAAAACCAACAAUUUAUUAAACUAAGCUUAACACAAAAGCGACAAUGGAGUGGGUUGAUCAGCAAUCUCUGUAAUGAAAGAAUGUGUGUCAUGUGUGCUGUGGAGGCGUCGAAGGUGCAAAACCGACAAUGAUGUAUGGUGGACAUCAGCUGUAGGAAAGGAGAGACACGUGGAAUUGUUUUCAUAACGCUGACUUGUCUCCUUGCUUCCUUCACCUCAAGUCUUAGCUCCUCCCAACGAGGAUGUGAGAGAGAGAUAAGAAAUCCUUGGUUCCAUAGCGUCAGUAUUAAGAAACAUCAGUUACUUAUGACGUGCUGUGGCACAUGUGGGGGUGUGGAAAUUAUACGUCACGCCACUUUUACAUAGGAUACACCUGUAUUUCCUCACAUCAGCCCCCUCCAGAAGCCUCCUCACUCCUCUCCUAGAGGUACAUUUAAGUGACUGGAAGUUCCUCCAUGAUGGCGGGAGGGGGGGAGAACAAUGUCCGGGUCAUGGGAGGAGAGAGGAUGCGGGGUUGAAUAAGUUAGCAUAAUGAAAAACCAGGGCCCAUCUGUUACAGCCUGCAGGCAUAGGUGAGCAUAAUCAGCUGACAACUCUCACAUGUAAGCUGACUGACUACUGAAGUUGACCAGAACAGCUCCAAGACAGUAGGAGAGUCACAAUAUCCACAACAAAAUGCCAUUUCGUAUUGAUUUUGGAAUUACGGAAAGUCUGAAGUAAAAGGGGGAAAAACAUUUUUAUCAUGUUCACAAACGCAAAAACAAAAUACUUUGGAUGGAGGAACGAUCACAGACAAGGCCAGGGUCAGCUGUAACAUCUACGUCACUACAAAAAACAAAUGGACUUACAGGAAAUGUGGUGUUAACUUGUUGAAUCUGAUGCUAAAUUUUAAUUUAGCAUUACCUUUAUUGGUAGGAUUAUGGUAUAGGCACUGCAUGAACCAGAAACACAAUAUGGUUAUUGUGACUAUUCAGAAAUGCCAUUAUUUGGUGUGUGGAUGCUACUUGUUCAGAGGUACUCUACAAAAAUGGGGUUAAUUAUGAGAAUGCUUUCAGCCAGAAACUGUGAAACUGUUUACCAUAAAUAUACAAAAGGUAGUGCGACAGAACCAAUGUAGAUGUUGCCACCUUUCACUGGAUCACAGCCUCCUAAAGUUGCAUUACCUUCCUGGCACUCUGGCGUCAAAACACAACAGUGUGUAAUGUCGCUAUACCUUUGUGCUCACAGCCAUGUUUGUUUACUGUCCCUGAGCAGGGGCACAUGAAAGUGGGGUGACUGGGUCUGUGGCCGUGACCCCGGCGACAAGAACAACCCCUGUCCCUGUAGACACUGCCUUUCUCCCUCUCCUGCACCAAACACAGCUCGGCCCUGGUCUGUUGCCUCAGGAUGGGAGUCACGGGACUGUGCUUUGAAGAAGUGCACAGCAGGGCCACAUUCGGACCAACGAGAGCGGCGACAGUGCUCUCUGUGGAGAUCUACUGUCAACACUAGGGACAGGAACUCACUUGAUGGCUGCGCUGAGCAGGAAGUUGAGCUGUGGCAUCACAAGCGUGUCAGGCGACGACAAGUACCGAUCAAACUGGACCUGUUGUUCGUGCAAGAGGGUUAAGAGCAGAAGAGCUGUCCAUGCUGGGAAGGAGGGACAAAGGGCCCUGAGACAGAAGAGGAAACAUCAUCUUAGAAUUCCACUCAAGGUCACAGUGUUGGAUCUCAGAACCAAACCAAAGUCAAGUGGCUGAGGUCCGUCAUUCAUUUAUUCAGGUUUGCAAAAAAACAUGAAUGACCCUAUCUGGAGCCAGUGUUUGGUUUGUCCAUUCUGGGCUAUUGUAGAAACAUCACGGUGAAACAUGGCGACUCUGUAGAUGAGGACCUGCUUCCUAUGUAGAUAUAAACGCCUCAUUCUAAGAGUGACUUCAAAUACCUGAUGGUGUGGUGGUAGAACUUGAGCAGGUUGGACAGCUUAUAAAGCAGCACAGCACCUGGUUCAGCCACGAUGACCUGCUCUAUCCGAACCUGAGGGACAGAUCAAUAACACACCGAUGGCCUGCAGACUCCCUCCGUGAUGUGUCCGACCACCUCCUGCAUGUUCUCCUCCACAUCUAUUGUAAGAAGACACACACAAAUAUAGUCAGGGCUAUUUGGGAUUAAAUACAUCAACUGUUUUGAGGGUACUGUAGAUGUAAGCAUAUUAUUAAUGAAUACAAUAUUGGAGAAAAUGUCCUGUUUUCACUGUCAAAUUCUGUAUUUUUUGAGCCCUGCCUACAGAGCUCAAACUUUUUACAAGUCAGCUCCUACAUGAUUUGUUGGGAUUGAGAUGAUAAACAAAAUUAAUUUCAGAAAACGACCUCAAAAUUAUGUAAGGAGAUAAAUGCUGAUACUCGAUAGAAGUAACUGGUUAAUAGCUCAGCAUAACAAACUGGACAAAAGGCCAGCCCAGGUCUUGACUGAUCUGUGUUUAUUCUUUACAGCUAUGCGAACCAAACAAGGUAAAUUAGGGAAACAAGCACAGGAUUAGUCUAUCAGGCUGAACUAAAUGUGCUGGAAUUUGAUUUGUUCACACUCUUUAACCUAAAUCUCUAAACUCAUUGUAUGACUGUGGUUACCCAAACUCUGUCCAAUAAACAAGCUACUCGUGA